CCGCGUGUAGCUCAUCCGGUAGAGCGCGCCGUUCGGGGCGGUGAGGCGGGAGGUUCGAGUCCUCCCACGCGGA
rnacentral:tRNA from 1 species